rnacentral:rRNA from 1 species
UAGGGAAGUCUUCCACAAUGGGCGGAAAGCCUGAUGGAGCAACGCCGCGUGUGUGAUGAAGGGUUUCGGCUCGUAAACACUGUUGUAAGAGAAGAAUGACAUUGAGAGUAACUGUUCAAUGUGUGACGGUAUCUUACCAGAAAGGAACGGCUAAAUACGUGCCUG